rnacentral:rRNA from 1 species
AUACGGAGGGUGCAAGCGUUACUCGGAAUCACUGGGCGUAAAGGACGCGUAGGCGGGUUGGUAAGUCAGGUGUGAAAUCCUACAGCUUAACUGUAGAACUGCACUUGAAACUACCAACCUAGAGUAUGGGAGGGGGAGAUGGAAUUAGUGGUGUAGGGGUAAAAUCCGUAGAUAUCACUAGGAAUACCGAAAGCGAAGGCGAUCUCCUGGAACAUAACUGACGCUAAGGCGUGAAAGCGUGGGGAGCAAACAGGAUUAGAUACCCCGGUAGUCC